AUUGAACGCUGGCGGCAGGCCUAACACAUGCAAGUCGAACGAGUGGCGGACGGGUGAGUAAUGUCUGGGAAACUGCCUGAUGGAGGGGGAUAACUACUGGAAACGGUAGCUAAUACCGCAUACCAUCAGAUGUUCCCAGAUGGGAUUAGCGAGUUGGUGGGGUAACAGAUCACCAGGUCGCCGGUCCCUAGCUGGUCUGAGAGGAUGACCAGGCAGACUGGAACUAGGACACGGGCCAGACUCCAACGGGAGGCAGCAGGGGGGAAUAGUGCACAAUGGGCGCAAGCCUGAUGCAGCCAUGCCGCGUGUAUGAAGAAGGCCUUCGGGUGGUAAAGUACUUUCAUCGGGGAGGCGUUACCCUCAGAAGAAACACCGGCUAACUCCGUGCCGGCAGCCGCGGUAAUUC
rnacentral:rRNA from 1 species